rnacentral:tRNA from 1 species
ACCUGGGUGGCUCAAUCGGUUAAGUGUCUGACUUCGGCUCAGGUCAUGAUCUCCUAACUCGUGGGUCCAAACCCCACAUCAGGCU